rnacentral:rRNA from 1 species
UACGUAGGUGGCAAGCGUUGUCCGGAUUUACUGGGUGUAAAGGGCGUGUAGGCGGGUUAUUAAGUCUGAUGUGAAAUACCGAGGCUCAACUUCGGGGCUGCAUUGGAAACUGAUAAUCUUGAGUGCAGGAGAGGAAAGCGGAAUUCCUAGUGUAGCGGUGAAAUGCGUAGAUAUUAGGAGGAACACCAGUGGCGAAGGCGGCUUUCUGGACUGUAACUGACGCUGAGGCGCGAAAGCGUGGGGAGCAAAC